rfam:Heligmosomoides polygyrus genome assembly, scaffold: HPBE_scaffold0002814
GCGCUGGUGGUGUAGGGCGUAGCAUCGCUGCCCGGAAAGCACAAGGUGCGGGUUCGAGCCCCGCCUGGCGCA